AAAAGAGGCUACAUGGAUGAGGCACACAUAGACCAGGUGAGGUGAGAGCCCUUGCAAGAAGACACCCAUCAUGAAGAGGACAAUACAGACGCUUCCGAAACCAGGAAGUGGACAGGAACCCAUUUUGGCCAGUGAGAUACUGCUGGUUUUGAGAACAAGGAACAGAAACUGAAAUUUCUCAGACUUACGAGUGGCUUCGAGAAUCUGCCCUCUCUGUUCAGCUGCUCCAUCAGCAUGGUUUUGAGGCCCAAAAUUGCCCUCAGCAAGAAAGCAACCAAAAGCCUGCAGCAGAGCCUGCAGCAGGACAGCAACCAAACCUUCCACUGGAAAUACAACUGAGGAAUUGGCCUUGGUUUCUCCACUUCCCCAAACAGAAUAUUUUACAUUGAUAGGAAAGCUUCCAAAUCAAUCAAGUUGGAAGAUUAA
rnacentral:lncRNA from 1 species